rnacentral:rRNA from 1 species
GGGUUGUGAGGUUAAGCGACUAAGCGUACACGGUGGAUGCCCUGGCAGUCAGAGGCGAUGAAGGGCGUGCUAAUCUGCGAUAAGCGCCGGUAAGGUGAUAUGAACCGUUAUAACCGGCGAUACCCGAAUGGGGAAACCCAGUGUGACUCGUCACACUAUCAUUAACUGAAUCCAUAGGUUAAUGAGGCGAACCGGGGGAACUGAAACAUCUAAGUACCCCGAGGAAAAGAAAUCAACCGAGAUUCCCCCAGUAGCGGCGAGCGAACGGGGAGGAGCCCAGAGCCUGAAUCAGCAUGUGUGUUAGUGGAAGCGUCUGGAAAGGCGCGCGAUACAGGGUGACAGCCCCGUACACAAAAGCGCAUGUGCUGUGAGCUCGAUGAGUAGGGCGGGACACGUGGUAUCCUGUCUGAAUAUGGGGGGACCAUCCUCCAAGGCUAAAUACUCCUGACUGACCGAUAGUGAACCAGUACCGUGAGGGAAAGGCGAAAAGAACCCCGGCGAGGGGAGUGAAAAAGAACCUGAAACCGUGUACGUACAAGCAGUGGGAGCACAGGUUUACCUGUGUGACUGCGUACCUUUUGUAUAAUGGGUCAGCGACUUAUAUUCUGUAGCAAGGUUAACCGAAUAGGGGAGCCGGAGGGAAACCGAGUCUUAACUGGGCGUUAAGUUGCAGGGUAUAGACCCGAAACCCGGUGAUCUAGCCAUGGGCAGGUUGAAGGUUGGGUAACACUAACUGGAGGACCGAACCGACUAAUGUUGAAAAAUUAGCGGAUGACCUGUGGCUGGGGGUGAAAGGCCAAUCAAACCGGGAGAUAGCUGGUUCUCCCCGAAAGCUAUUUAGGUAGCGCCUCGUGAAUUCAUCUCCGGGGGUAGAGCACUGUUUCGGCUAGGGGGCCAUCCCGGCUUACCAACCCGAUGCAAACUGCGAAUACCGGAGAAUGUUAUCACGGGAGACACACGGCGGGUGCUAACGUCCGUCGUGAAGAGGGAAACAACCCAGACCGCCAGCUAAGGUCCCAAAGUCAUGGUUAAGUGGGAAACGAUGUGGGAAGGCCCAGACAGCCAGGAUGUUGGCUUAGAAGCAGCCAUCAUUUAAAGAAAGCGUAAUAGCUCACUGGUCGAGUCGGCCUGCGCGGAAGAUGUAACGGGGCUAAACCAUGCACCGAAGCUGCGGCAGCGACACUGUGUGUUGUUGGGUAGGGGAGCGUUCUGUAAGCCUGUGAAGGUGGCCUGUGAGGGUUGCUGGAGGUAUCAGAAGUGCGAAUGCUGACAUAAGUAACGAUAAAGCGGGUGAAAAGCCCGCUCGCCGGAAGACCAA